UACGUAGGCAGCAAGCGUUGUUCGGAAUUACUGGGCGUAAAGGGCGCGUAGGCGGUUUGACAAGUCUGAUGUGAAAUCUCUGGGCUCAACCCAGAGUCUGCAUUAGAAACUGUCGGGCUUGAGUAUGGGAGAGGUGAGUGGAAUUUCCGGUGUAGCGGUGAAAUGCGUAGAUAUCGGAAGGAACACCUGUGGCGAAAGCGGCUCACUGGACCAUAACUGACGCUGAGGCGCGAAAGCUAGGGGAGCAAACAGG
rnacentral:rRNA from 1 species